rnacentral:rRNA from 1 species
UACGUAGGGGGCAAGCGUUGUCCGGAAUCAUUGGGCGUAAAGAGCGUGUAGGCGGUUCGGUAAGUCUGUCGUGAAAUCCUGAGGCUCAACCUCGGGCGUGCGAUGGAUACUGCCGGGCUAGAGGGUGGUAGAGGCGAGUGGAAUUCCCGGUGUAGCGGUGAAAUGCGCAGAUAUCGGGAGGAACACCAGUAGCGAAGGCGGCUCGCUGGGCCACACCUGACGCUGAGGCGCGAAAGCGUGGGGAGCGAACAGG